GACGAACGCUGGCGGCGUGCUUAACACAUGCAAGUCGAGCGGUAAGGCCCUUUCGGGGGUACACGAGCGGCGAACGGGUGAGUAACACGUGGGUGACCUGCCCUCAGCUCUGGGAUAAGCCCGGGAAACUGGGUCUAAUACCGGAUAUGACUCCAUGACGCAUGUUGUGGGGUGGAAAGCCUUGUGCGGCUGAGGAUGGGCCCGCGGCCUAUCAGCUUGUUGGUGGGGUGAUGGCCUACCAAGGCGACGACGGGUAGCCGGCCUGAGAGGGCGACCGGCCACACUGGGACUGAGACACGGCCCAGACUCCUACGGGAGGCAGCAGUGGGGAAUCUUGCGCAAUGGGCGAAAGCCUGACGCAGCGACGCCGCGUGAGGGAUGACGGCCUGUGU
rnacentral:rRNA from 1 species